AGAGUUUGAUCAUGGCUCAGAACGAACGCUGGCGGCAGGCUUAACACAUGCAAGUCGAACGCCCCGCAAGGGGAGUGGCAGACGGGUGAGUAACACGUGGGAACGUGCCCAAAGGUACGGAACAACUCCGGGAAACUGGAGCUAAUACCGUAUGUGUCCGUAAGGAGAAAGAUUUAUCGCCUUUGGAUCGGCCCGCGUCGGAUUAGCUAGUUGGUGGGGUAAAAGCCUACCAAGGCGACGAUCCGUAGCUGGUUUGAGAGAACGACCAGCCACACUGGGACUGAGACACGGCCCAGACUCCUACGGGAGGCAGCAGUGGGGAAUCUUGGACAAUGGGCGCAAGCCUGAUCCAGCCAUGCCGCGUGGAUGAUGAAGGCCUUAGGGUUGUAAAAUCCUUUCGUCGGGGACGAUAAUGACGGUACCCGAAGAAGAAGCUCCGGCUAACUUCGUGCCAGCAGCCGCGGUAAUACGAAGGGGGCUAGCGUUGUUCGGAUUUACUGGGCGUAAAGCGCGUGUAGGCGGGUCGUUAAGUUGGGGGUGAAAUCCCGAGGCUCAACCUCGGAACUGCCUUCAAAACUGGCGACCUGGAGCAAAGAAGAGGCGAGUGGAAUUGCGAGUGUAGAGGUGAAAUUCGUAGAUAUUCGCAGGAACACCAGUGGCGAAGGCGACUCGCUGGUCUUUUGCUGACGCUGAGACGCGAAAGCGUGGGGAGCAAACAGGAUUAGAUACCCUAGUAGUCC
rnacentral:rRNA from 1 species